GUGCUCAUUUCAGCAGCACAUGUACUAAAAUUGGAACAAUACAGACAGGAUUAGCAUGGCCCCUGUGCAAGGAUGAGAUGCAAAUUUGUGAAGUGUUCCAUAUUUUU
rnacentral:snRNA from 1 species